rnacentral:rRNA from 1 species
GACGAACGCUGGCGGCGUGCUUAACACAUGCAAGUCGAACGGUGAAGCGCCUUCCUUUUUGGUGGGUGUGGAUGAGUGGCGAACGGGUGAGUAACACGUGAGUAACCUGCCCCCUUCUUCUGGAUAACCGCAUGAAAGUGUGGCUAAUACGGGAUAUUCUGGGUCUGUCGCAUGAUGGGUCUGGGAAAGAUAUUGUUUCGGUGGGGGAUGGGCUCGCGGCCUAUCAGCUUGUUGGUGGGGUGAUGGCCUACCAAGGCGGUGACGGGUAGCCGGCCUGAGAGGGUGGACGGUCACACUGGGACUGAGACACGGCCCAGACUCCUACGGGAGGCAGCAGUGGGGAAUAUUGCACAAUGGGCGAAAGCCUGAUGCAGCGACGACGCGUGAGGGAUGGAGGCCUUCGGGUUGUGAACCUCUUUCGCCAGUGAAGCAGGCCUGCCUCGUUUGUGGGUGGGUUGACGGUAGCUGGAUAAGAAGCGCCGGCUAACUACGU